GAUGAACGCUGGCGGCGUGCCUAAUACAUGCAAGUCGAGCGAACAGACGAGGAGCUUGCUCCUCUGACGUUAGCGGCGGACGGGUGAGUAACACGUGGAUAACCUACCUAUAAGACUGGGAUAACUUCGGGAAACCGGAGCUAAUACCGGAUAAUAUAUUGAACCGCAUGGUUCAAUAGUGAAAGACGGUUUUGCUGUCACUUAUAGAUGGAUCAGCGCCGCAUUAGCUAGUUGGGAAGGUAACGGCUUACCAAGGCAACGAUGCGUAGCCGACCUGAGAGGGUGAUCGGCCACACUGGAACUGAGACACGGUCCAGACUCCUACGGGAGGCAGCAGUAGGGAAUCUUCCGCAAUGGGCGAAAGCUUGACGGAGCAACGCCGCGUGAGUGAUGAAGGUCUUCGGAUCGUAAAACUCUGUUAUUAGGGAAGAACAAAUGUGUAAGUAACUAUGCACGUCUUGACGGUACCUAAUCAGAAAGCCACGGCUAACUACGUG
rnacentral:rRNA from 1 species